GUGUGUGCUCGGCAGUCUGUCUGUAUGUGUAUUUAGCAGUCUGUCUGUGUACUUAGCAGUCUGUCUGUAUUUAGCAGACUGCUGAGUACACAGUCUGCUAAAUACACACACAGACAGACUGCUACACACA